rnacentral:lncRNA from 1 species
UUGUGUUUUUUGUUGUUGUUGUUUUAAGCCCUGGGCUUUCCAGGCUGAACUUUCUCACUACCAUUACACUGAAAAAGAGCCCUUGAAAGUUUUGCUCGGAUCUUGCACAUUCUUUUGGAAGUCUUACUGUGGAAAUUGUCCGUGUUUUCAGCUUCCACAUCCCUUUCUCCUGGGAGAUUUCUUUUCCGUUUUUUUUACUUUGUCUCUUUUCUUUCCUCCGCAACUGCUUUGUUGUUGUUGUUGUUGUUUCUUGUAAACCACUUCUCAAAAGUGAACUAGUUGCCGUUUAAUAGAAGUUUGGAUGAACUGCCCCCAAAAUAAAGGAAAUCCGAACAGUCAUGGAAGUUGACUCCAAUUGGAGGGAUGGCUCUGAUCAAUUACUCUUUCCACAGGUCUAACUGUGUCAUCCAGGCUGUAGCGCAGUGGUGUG